UUUUUUUGUUUGUUUGUUUGUUUGUUUGUUUUCAUUCAAAGAUGCAUUGAGCAACUACUAUAUGCCAGGUGCUGAGAAUACAGCGUUUAAAUCUUCAGCAACAGAAAUAAUCCUUCCCUUCUUGAGGUUUACGUUCAAGUGAAGGGGUGGGAAGGAGGAGACGUUCCACAAAUGAACGUUUGAAUCCAUCGUAGGUAUUUCGACGCUCUAACAGCGUAAGGUAAUAAAACAAGGUGAGGGGUGGGGAAGGGAACAUUGACUUCAGAAGGAUAGUCAGCGAGUGGACCAUCUGAGAGUUCAUGUGAACUAAAAGCCAAAAGAGGAGAGAGAUCAGCCAUGGGAAGAUCAGAUCCCACAAGAGAUCUUUCCGGAAGGAACUACAAGUGUGAGGGCUGUGAGAUUGCAAAGAAAGUUGCAUAUAAUCGCAUACCAGCUUCUAAGGGCUUUGUACCUGCUUUUCCCCUCAGGGAACUUCUCCUCACCUGGACUUGUUUAACUUUUUACACACCUUUCUUAUUUAAGCUCAUCUCCCAAACUCCGCCCCUGCAAAUCAGGUCUACCUGAUAUUCAUUCUUCUUAUCCCAUACUUAUAAAGCCCAGAACACAACUUGUAGUUUUAUUUGUGUGAUGGCUUACUAACAUCUCCCUUCCCUACUGAACCAUCAGUUCUUCUCUUGGAGGCCAGUGAUUAGUAGGAGUUCAGUGAACAGUUACUUAAUAACAACCCUUAUGGUAAGAACAGCUGUCCCCAUUUUACAGAUGAAGAAACUCAGCCACAAGUCACACAGCUGGUAAUUUGCAGACCUAGGAUUCUGAUUUCUUAUCCUCUUACUCUGUGCCUCACUAAAGUCAUAGAGCCCACACAUCUAAAUCAGCUGGAAACCAUUUGGCCUUCACCUCACUGUGGUCUUGUGUGCAUGCAUGUGUGCAUGAGUGUUUGUGUGUGUGUGUGUGUGUUUAAGUUCAAUGAUAUGACCAGCAUUGUUAACGGCCUGGGCUCCAGAGUCAGACAGAUUUAGCCAGGAAUCCCAGCACCCUCAUUUACUCACAUCCUCUUUCUUCCAGCAAUUCCACUUCUAGGAAUUUAUCCAAGAGAAGAAAAUUGGAGUUCCAAGAAUACACUCAAGGAUGUUCUCUGAAGCAUUGUUUAUAGUACUGAAAAUCAGAAGCAAUCUCAGUAGCUGACAAGCCAGCAUUGCUUAACUAAGUUAUGCCCCAUUAAAAUGUAAGAAAGAUCCUAACUGGAUUGUCAGCUUCGUGAGAGCUGAGACCUGAUAUAUUUGUUCAUUGCUACGUCUUCAGUGCUCAAAACUGUGUGGGAUGUAGUAACUGCUCUUUAAAUAAAGAAUUGAUGAACUGUACAGCAAUUAAAACUGCACUGAAGAAAACUUAAUCAUGAAAAGAUUCAAAAUAUAGCAAAGUCAAGAUACAUUACCACAUAUAUAGCAUGACCCGCAUAGCUAUUAUCUUUAAACAUCUCUUUUUGUAAGUAAAUGCAUUGGAGUUCCCGUUGUGGUACAGUGGAAAGGAAUCCGACUAGUAUCCAUGAGGAUUCAGGUUCCAUCCCUGGCCUCACUCAGUGGGUAGUAGGGGAUCCAGCAUUGCUGUGAGCUGUGGUGUAGAUCAUAGAUGCAGCUCUGAUUCUAUGUGGCUGUGGCUGGUAGCUGUAGCUCUAUUUCCACGCCUAGCCUGUGAACUUCCAUACGCCGCAGGUGCAGCCCUAAAAAGCAAAAAAAAAAAAAAAAAAAAAAAAGUAUAUACAUUAAAAAGAAUAUACACCCAAAUCUUACCAGCAGAGAUCUCUAGAAAGGGCAGUAUCAGGGAUGUUCUUUUUCUUAAUCUGUGUAUUCUCCAAUUAACGUCCUGGCCCAAGUUUCCCAGCAAGCAGAGCCCGAGACCUGGGCUUGCAGGCAGCUAGUUAUUUGUAGAAGUGAUUCCAGAGAAUAGUACUGGGGAUCAGAGAACAGUCAAACAGCGAAGGAGGGCGAGCUAACCAAAGAGCACUUUUUUUUGGCUGCACCCAAAGCAUGUGGAAGUUCCCAGGCCAGGGAUCAAACUGUGCCACAGCCAUGGCCCAAACCACUACACCACAGGAGAACUCCCAAAGAGCAUUUUUUUUUUUUGGCUUUUUAGGGCCACGCCCACAGCAUUAUCAAGUUCCCAGGCUAGGGGUCCAAUCUGAGCUGCACCUGCAACCCACACCACAGCUCACCGCAACACCAGAUCCUUAACCCACUGAGCAAGGCCAGGGGUUGAACCCACGUCCUCCUGGAUACUAUUUGGGUUCAUUACCACCAAGCCAUGAUGGGAACUCCCCCAAAGAAUAUUCUUGAGUUGGUCCUGCUGUGAGCAACUUAACACUCAGUCCCACUGGUACCUUCUAAGGAGGCUUGAAGCUUGUCUUUCCAAGAAAUAAGAGCUGGAAAGGAACAUUUGCCCAGUGGCUCAUCCGCCAUUAAAGAAAAGGUUAACGAGUUUUUCCAUCAUCUCCCACUUUCAGGUUGAGUAUAAGGAAAGAGAUUCCCAUGGAUGGCCCACACCAAAGCAGUGAAGAUACCCUGGGGCAAAAAGCAAGCAAUACUCUGUGUAGCUAACAAGAGAGACUGUCAGGUUACCCAUGAACAAAAUCAGUUGCUACAGCCACGAUUAAAGUAAAUUUUAAAUCAAUGAGUUCCUGUUGUGGCUUAGUGUUUAAUGAAUCCGACUAGGAACCAUGAGGUUUUGGGUUCGAUCCCUGGCCUUGCUCAGUGGGUUGAGGAUCUGGCGUUGCCAUGAGCUGGUGUAGAUUGCAGACAUGGCUUGGAUCUGGCGUGGCUGUAGCAUAGGCUGGUGGCUACAGCACCGAUUAGACCCCUAGCUUUGGAACCUCCAUGUGCCGUGGGUGCGGCAAAAAAACCAAAAAACCUCCAUAUCAGGGGCCAAAGUAAAUGGUAAAUCAGGAGAAUGUAGUGUAGGACAUUAUUACAAAAAAUACUUAGCACUUCUCAAGAUAAGAUGAGGAAGUUCCCAUUGUGACUCAGCAGGUUAAGAGCCCGACUAGUAUCCAUGAGGAUGUGAGUUGGAUCCCCGGCCUCGCUCAGUGCGUUAAGGAUCCGGCAUUGCCUUGAGCUGUGGCACAGGUCACAGAUGCAGCUCGGAUCUGGCAUUGAUGUGGCUGUGCCGUAGGCCUGGGGCUACAGCUCCAGUUUGACCCCUAGCCUGGGAACUUCCAUAUGCUGCAGGUGUGGCCCU
rnacentral:lncRNA from 1 species